CAAGGAACUAAGAGUUUAUGGGGGAUACCUUGGCAUUCAGAAGCGAUGAAGGACGUGGUUACCGACGAUACGCUUCGGGGAGCUGGAAACAAGCUAUGAUCCGGAGGUCUCCGAAUGAGGCAACUUUUUAACUACUUAUUGAAUUCAUAGAUAAGAAAGAGCGAACCUAGAGAAUUGAAACAUCUUAGUACCUAGAGGAAAAGAAAGUAAAAACGAUUCCCUGAGUAGCGGCGAGCGAAACGGGAUUAGCCUAAACUUAAUUAUAAAUUAAGGGUAGUGGGACAAUAAUAAAGAAUUUAAUGGAACGAUUAGAGGAAUAAGUUUGGAAUACUUAACCAUAGAGAGUGAUAGUCUCGUAAACGAAAUAAAUAUUAUACCUAACAGUAUCCUGAGUAGCACGAAACACGUGAAAUUUUGUGUGAACCAGCCGGAACCAUCCGGUAAGGCUAAAUACUCCUCAAAUACCGAUAGCGAACGAGUACUGUGAAGGAAAGGUGAAAAGAACCGUGAAUAACGGAGUGAAA
rnacentral:rRNA from 1 species